rnacentral:lncRNA from 1 species
AAUGGAAUUCACCACGGAGAAUCCAAAAAUAUUUGGAGGUAUGAUUAUCUACUUUAAAGAAUAAAACAGGUUCAUAGUUAUAUUUUCCUGCCAAAAAAAGUAUUCUUCAUACUUAUAUAUUAUAUUUUACUUAAUAAAAUCAUCUAAGAAACACUUGGGCUUACGCAGGUAAUCUCUAUGACUCUAUCUAAACUCAACACCAGCAACAAAAGUUUACUUUGACAAUACCAUUCAUGCUACCAAAGAGUUUACAAACAGGUAAAUCAAGUCUUA